UGGAGAGUUUGAUCCUGGCUCAGGACGAACGCUGGCGGCGUGCCUAAUACAUGCAAGUCGAGCGGACCGACGGGAGCUUGCUCCCUUAGGUCAGCGGCGGACGGGUGAGUAACACGUGGGUAACCUGCCUGUAAGACUGGGAUAACUCCGGGAAACCGGGGCUAAUACCGGAUGCUUGAUUGAACCGCAUGGUUCAAUCAUAAAAGGUGGCUUUYAGCUACCACUUACAGAUGGACCCGCGGCGCAUUAGCUAGUUGGUGAGGUAACGGCUCACCAAGGCGACGAUGCGUAGCCGACCUGAGAGGGUGAUCGGCCACACUGGGACUGAGACACGGCCCAGACUCCUACGGGAGGCAGCAGUAGGGAAUCUUCCGCAAUGGACGAAAGUCUGACGGAGCAACGCCGCGUGAGUGAUGAAGGUUUUCGGAUCGUAAAACUCUGUUGUUAGGGAAGAACAAGUACCGUUCGAAUAGGGCGGYACCUUGACGGUACCUAACCAGAAAGCCACGGCUAACUACGUGCCAGCAGCCGCGG
rnacentral:rRNA from 1 species